UCCGAAUUAGUAUAUCGGCUAGUAUAACCGCCUCUCAUCAUGUGGCCCGCGGUAGAGACGGGUUCGAUUCCCGUAUUCGGAA